GAUGAACGCUGGCGGCGUGCUUAACACAUGCAAGUCGAACGGUGAAAGCGGGAGCUUGCUCCUGCUGGAUCAGUGGCAAACGGGUGCGGAACACGUACGCAACUUACCCAUAACUGAUGAAUAGCCCUCCGAAAGGAGGAUUAAUACAUCGUAAUACUUAUUGGUGGCAUCACCGAAAAGUUAUAGCUCCGGCGGUUAUGGAUGGGCGUGCGGCUGAUUAGGUAGUUGGUUGAGGUAACGGCUCACCAAGCCUGCGAUCAGUAACUGGUGUGAGAGCACGACCAGUCACACGGGCACUGAGACACGGGCCCGACUCCUACGGGAGGCAGCAGUAAGGAAUAUUGGUCAAUGGACGCAAGUCUGAACCAGCCAUGCCGCGUGAAGGAUGAAGGUCCUCUGGAUUGUAAACUUCUUUUACAGGGGAAGAAACCCGGAAAUUCUUUUUCGGUUGACGGUACCCUGGGAAUAAGCACCGGCUAACUCCGUGCCAGCCGCCGCAGUAAUAC
rnacentral:rRNA from 1 species